rnacentral:ribozyme from 1 species
AAAGCCGAAGAGUGAACAUAAGAAAGAAGAGAUGACGACGAUUUGAUUUCUUUUUGUACCAUUUCAUUUUUUUUCGUUUCACUUU